CCCAAGACCGGUUACUCACUGAAGCUAAGCAGGGCUGAGCCUGGUUAGUACCUGGAUGGGAGACCACUAGGGAACACUAGGUUGCUGUUGGAA
rnacentral:rRNA from 1 species